GCCCAGCACCGAAUCCUGUACCGUCCUGGUACUAGGAAAUGUGGUGUUUAGGCCGUGCUUUGUGCCGGUACGACUCUCCUCAAGUCCACUUGAUUGUGGCUUCAGGCCCAGAGAGGGUGUAAGGCCCGUGGAGGCGAGUUGUCCGGUGCCCGGCACGUCCUUAGAGUCGGGUUGUUUGGGAAUGCAGCCCUAAGCGGGUGGUAAACUCCAUCCAAGGCUAAAUACUAGCACGAGUCCGAUAGCGAAGAAGUACCGCGAGGGAAAGUUGAAAAGAACUUUGAAGAGAGAGUUCAAGAGUACGUGAAACCGCUGAGAGGCAAACUGGUGGAGCUGAAAUGGCUUUCGGGAAUUCAGCCCUUCGCUCUUGAGAUGAUGCUGAUUGUGAGAUCUAACGACUCCGUUGGUAUUCUUCUUCUUGAGUGAUAGGUGCACUUUCCCUUGAGCCGGACCACGACCAGCGAGUUGUCUUGUCUGAUAUUAGGGAAAGGUAGCGUCUGCCUCGGUGGACGUGUUAUAGACCCUGAUUCGGAGCGAGCGACGCGUUGGAUUAUUCGAUGCCUGCCCUCUGGGCUCGUACGUUGUCUCUUUCAGGGGUGUCUCUGGCUUCACUGCCUCGGCAGGGGUGUUGGAGACGCUUCGGUUAGGGAUGGCCUCUGCGAUUGGCGUCUACAGUCAGUGGUUUCGAAGUAGGCAGUCCACCUGACCCGUCUUGAAACACGGACCAAGGAGUCUAACAUGUGCGCGAGUCAUUGGGCUCUACGAAACCUAAAGGCGAAGUGAAAGUAAAGAUCCAUUUUGGUGGAUUGAGGUAGGAUCCUGGGUUACGAGCUCAGGCGCACUACCGGCCCGUCCGCUAUGUUUUCAUAAGGGCGGCGCAAGAGCGUACACGUUGGGACCCGAAAGAUGGUGAACUAUGCUUGCGCAGGUCGAAGCCAGAGG
rnacentral:rRNA from 1 species